GCCCAGCUUGAAAAUCGGAC
rnacentral:snRNA from 1 species